rnacentral:rRNA from 1 species
AUUGAACGCUGGCGGCAGGCUUAACACAUGCAAGUCGAGCGGGGUGAUGGUGCUUGCACUAUCACUUAGCGGCGGACGGGUGAGUAAUGCUUAGGAAUCUGCCUAUUAGUGGGGGACAACAUCUCGAAAGGGAUGCUAAUACCGCAUACGUCCUACGGGAGAAAGCAGGGGAUCACUUGUGACCUUGCGCUAAUAGAUGAGCCUAAGUCGGAUUAGCUAGUUGGUGGGGUAAAGGCCUACCAAGGCGACGAUCUGUAGCGGGUCUGAGAGGAUUAUCCGCCACACUGGGACUGGGACACGGCCCAGACUCCUACGGGAGGUAGCAGUGGGGAAUAUUGGACAAUGGGGGGAACCCUGGUCCAGCCAUGCCGCGUGUGUGAAGAAGGCCUUAUGGUUGUAAAGCACUUUAAGCGAGGAGGAGGCUCUUUUGGUUAAUACCCAAGAUGAGUGGACGUUACUCGCAGAAUAAGCACCGGCUAACUCUGUGCCAGCCGCCGCCGUAA